CGUUGGUCAAGGGGUUAAGACACCGCCUUUUCACGGCGGUAACACGGGUUCGAAUCCCGUACGUCCA
rnacentral:tRNA from 1 species